GAUGUGACGAAAACCAGGAGGGAAAGUGAAACCCUUCCUUCCUGGCUUCAGUGGGGAACAAGUUCUUGUGCCAGACGGGUUCUUCCUUCCUCUUGAGGGACUCUGGAGACCUUGGGCCCACCGCUUCCUUCCUGCUUGGUUAUUUCAGGAAAGAGGGGAUCAAACCCAGGACCUUGUGCAAGCUAGGCAAGUAAUCCACCACUGAGCUACACCCCUAUCCCUUUUUAUCUUGAGACAGGGUCUAACUCCUGCCUCAGCCUCUAGGGUACUGGAUUACAGGUGUGCACCACUGCACCUAGCUCCUUGGGCUCUGUGGUCCAAAGCAGCUUCUCCUUCCUUGCCACCCAAGGGUGUGCCCGCCCCUUCUUCUGGAGCCACUUAAUGAUGGACGUGGUGGAGGACGAGCACUGGCAGAUGGUCAGUGGAGGAGGUUUUGUGUCCCAGCUCUCUCACUAGUUUGCUUGGGGAGAAUCCAUUCCCUGUCUGGGAGGACAGUACCUCACAGGGACCCUGCUGGGCUGUGGCAUGAGGAGGAAGAUGAAAGGAACUCUCUCACGGACAGAUGAGCAACUGCCCACUGCCCGGCUGGCUGUCUCAAGGGUGUCCAAAAGAUCCAGUAACUAGUGUCUACAGUAAGAAGCAACACUCAAGAGCAGAAGGACAUGCCACAGGAAGCUCUGAUCCUUCUUCACCUACAAGCCUGUUGAGUCUCACCCUCAGGCUUGAGGAAUCCAGGGGAAGAGGGCAGCGGGCACAUCCCUUUGAGUGGUCAGGGCAAGCUCCUUUGAGUGGUCAGCCUUGCUGGGCCAGCCCUGGUGGCCUCAACCUCAUCACCCCAGCACUGCUUCAAACUAGUCCAGACAAGUCCUGGGUAUUUUCAGCCACCUUUAUCUGAUAGGAAAUGUUUGGAAUUCCACAGAGGGCAAGAGCUCUGGAGGAUUUGGGGAUGGGUGCAAAUCCCUGCAACACUCUUCCCUCCUGCUCUCCUCCCCCCACCACAUGCGAAUGUGCACAUACACUCUCCAAGUAACCAAAAACUCAGUGCUGCGGGCUCCUGCAGGGCUGCAUUUCCCACAUUCCAGCUCCUUUAGUCUUCUUCCCUUUUCAUCUCUGCAAUCCCCCCCUCAAGGUGCGGGCUUGCAAGAUGCCUGAGCUGAUGCCCGCGGGGCUGGGUACUCUGCUGUCACUGAGAGAAGGGACAUUCAGAGGUGUGCUGGUUAUAGGCAAUGCCCAGAGCACUGGUAAACUGCAGAAGAAUGCUGCCACCACCACUAGAGACCUAGAAGCAACUCACUGUCCCACCUGAAGUGGAACAUGGAACAUGGAAUGUGUGAUCUGCGGUUUAACCCCCUUCCUGAGCAAACGGGACACCGAGACCCAGAUGAGGUAAAGAGACACCCUGCAAGGUCUCACAGAGGAUUAGCACAGAGCCUGGCCUCAGGCCUCCUGAUCCCUGGGGUCAGCAGAGUGGCUUCCAAACCCAGUUCUGGGAGGUCUGGGCUGCUGGACCAGGGGCCAGACCCUUUACUCUCUGAGCCCAGUGUUUGGCUAAAAUGAGAACAGCUGAAUCUAUUUCACAGCCUUGGCAGAAUUAAAUGGUCCAUAGUAAGCA